UGAGUUUACGGAGUUGUGGCAUCCCCUCCCUGUGCUGCCUUGUCCUCACUGUGUAUUUUUUCUUCAGCUUGGAAAGGAUUAUGUGACUUACCAAAAUGAGAUCUUCUACAACAAGAAUUACCAGAAUAUGGUUUCUAAUGAUGUGACUGAGAGGGUGAUCGUGCAGUGUACAUAUCCUCUAUCUAGUCUCCGUCAGCUCUUCACAAUGUACAGAUUUGUGUCUGACACGGUUGGUGUUGG